rnacentral:rRNA from 1 species
AUUGAACGCUGGCGGCAGGCCUAACACAUGCAAGUCGAGCGGUUGAGGUAGCUUGCUACCGAUGCAGCGGCGAACGGGUGAGUAAUACAUGGGAAUCUGCCUGGUAGUGGGGGACAACGUCUCGAAAGGGACGCUAAUACCGCAUACGCCCUACGGGGGAAAGGGGGGGAUCUUUGGACCUCUCGCUAUCAGAUGAGCCCAUGUCAGAUUAGCUAGUUGGUAGGGUAAAGGCCUACCAAGGCGACGAUCUGUAACUGGUCUGAGAGGAUGAUCAGUCACACUGGAACUGGGACACGGUCCAGACUCCUACGGGAGGCAGCAGUGGGGAAUAUUGGACAAUGGGCGCAAGCCUGAUCCAGCCAUGCCGCGUGUGUGAAGAAGGCCUUAGGGUUGUAAAGCACUUUCAGUGGGGAGAAAGGUUAUUCACCUAAUACGUGAGUAAAUUGAUGUUACCCACAGAAGAAGCACCGGCUAACUCCGUGUCAGCCGCCGCGGUAAUAC